rnacentral:lncRNA from 1 species
CAAGACCAUGCAGUGUGGUGGUUAUAUCCAGGAGACGUGAGGGGAGGCCUAAUAAAGAGACAACUGAGUGGCCUGGAUUGGUUCUAUGAAGAAUGCAAAACAAUCCUGGGCCAUCUCAGAGUAAGCUGCACUCAUGGUGCCUCUUGAACCCAUGUCCUGUUAUUGUUGGUGUGGAACAUGAGUGUCUGGGCCAAUGAAAAUAAGGAAGGCAGCUUGACAGACACAGAUUUUAUCUUUUGAGAUUCGUCAUGACCUUUCUAGUGUUUAAUAAAUAAAGUUGACUCAGGAAUUGGCAAGUGCCCUAUAACAUGCAGUCCCGGUGUCGGGACUCGGCAGAAUGUUCUGCUUAGCAAUGCACUCUGUGAGCUUUGUUUGCCAAGUUCCUAUUUUGGAGGUGUGCUGAAGGGCUGAGCAAUGGCAGAUGCUGAACCUUCUGCAGGCAGGUGCACUGGGCCCAGCAUCUCUGCCCAUGCUGAUCCAGGCUGGAUGAAGGUCAUGCUGAUGCAAACUUUAAUUGCUGGGCAAGAAAAAGAAAAGGCAUGUCUUGCAAAGUAAGAAUGCUGCUUGCACUGGUGCAAAUCCUGGGGCAAGGAGAACUUCCAUCCUUUCUCAUUACUGUAUAACCCAUCAAGCAUUUCAAUCAGCACCGAACAGUAUUGCUUCCUGUAUUGCCUUUUGAGCAGCUCUGCCAUGCACUGUGGAUCCUGCGAUAUUAAACAUCUCCAUCAUCCAGAGGAUGUGGCCAAUUUUGCAGGUGACAGGAAUGGCAGCUCUGAGGCUUGCCUGCUGCCGGUGAAUCCCUGCCAAGCCAUCUCCUCUGCUAACUGAUUGAGAGCAAUCACAGCCAGGUUUCCUGAGCUAACCCUGGUGGCAGGGGCAGCAAAACACAGUGCUCCAUUGAAAACAACUGGGAAUCGUUUACUGCUAAACUUGAAGCCAUUCUGUGAUGGUAACAUAUCAGACUGAAGUUACUCUGCAGAGCAAAAACGCGCUGGAGAGGUGGAGAAGGACCAGCACUUGAUCUGGAAGCACCACGCGGGACUUACGAUCCUCCCAGGACGAGUUUGAUGGUUUUCUUCCCAUCAGAAGCAUGAGGCUGUGCUCUGGGGUCAGGAUGUCGGUGACACACAGAUGACACGGAGCACUGAAGCCUGCGUGUGAAUCAGGUGGCUGCUGUGCACCGGAUGUGUGCCCGUGCUGCAAAACACGUGUCCUUGUUGUGCUUCCUCGAGAGAUGCAUCUGCUGAUGUCAGCUUCCAGGUAAGGCACGCAGGAACCCGCUUCGUGUUGGCAUCUGUGGCCUCUGCCCUCUCCUGGUCCUAAGGAAGUUAAAAGUGACCUAAGGUUGUUUUUCUCUGAGCCGUGGCUAAUGCUGCAGAUGGGGAAGCAAUGGCAAUUUUCCAGCAGGUGAGACCCUCCAGGCCAUCUAGCCAGACAAGAAAAAUAAACACAGGAAAUAGCAUCCGUGCAGUCAGAUAACUGAGAAACAAGCGGCUGGGAGCAAUUCGGCUGUGUGUGUGUCGGGGGGACGGAGCUUGGAGCAAGCAGAUGUCAGGCCUUGUUACGGGGAAAGGGCCUGGAUGUGGGUGAGCUAGUGCUUGCUAAGGGCAAAGACUGGAUGUUACCCUUGUCUUUCUGUCCCAGAAUCAGUACUUGUGUCUCUGCCUACAUAGACACUGCUCAGUCUCACCCGUGAAACCCAUUCCCUGCACUCCUGUUGGCCUCUGCUGUGUGGCAUGUCUGCAGGCCCUGUGUGCUUCUCAGCUUUGUCCCCAGUGGUAUUGCUGGGCAGUGUUGUGGUGAGGCAUCUGCUGCUCCAUCCUGUGCUCAGAGAGAUGGAGGAACCACCUGCGGUGCUCGAAAUAGCUCUGCCUGGGCAAUGCAACCCAAGUGGUGUUGGUAGAGGGAGGCAUUCCCAUGCCUCAUAAAGAGGCUUUUGUUGGGAGGAUCUAAGCUGAGCUCCAUGCCUUGCCAGCUGUGGAGAGGAGCAGAUGGGUCUGCAGUAUAAAAAUAGAUGGAAGCAGACUUGUUCUGCUUCUUUUCUUCACCAGCACAGUCCCAGAGGUGCCUGGUCAUCUGAACCAGCACAGGGAACUGGGUGCUUUGCAGCUGCUAGUCUGCCUGGAGCCCACUAGCUAUUGUCAGAGACAGGAAUUUAUCUCUGUCCAGUCCCAUUCCCUCUACAGCUGCCG